rnacentral:rRNA from 1 species
GGUAAUGCCGGGCGAGUGGCCGGGGUAGUAAGGAAGGGGCGAGGGUGGUUAGGAAUUACUGGGCGGAAAGCGCGGGUAGGCGGCCAUGCAAGUGAGGCGUGAAAGGCCUGGGCUCAACCUGGGAACUGCGCGUCAGACUGCACGGCUUGAGUCCGGGAGAGGGUGGUGGAAUUCCCAGUGUAGAGGUGAAAUGCGUAGAUAUGCGGAGGAACACCGAUGGCGAAGGCAAUCCCCUGGGCCUGCACUGACGCUCAUGCACGAAAGCGUGGGGAGCAAACAGGAUUAGAUACCCUAGUAGUC